UGCAGCGCAUAGAGAAGUCCUGUAAAGUGUACAGUAGCAGGAGGAAGGAACAUCAUUCAGUGACGGUGUACACAGAGAGCAGGACAUCUUAGAAACUCACGUGCAUUUCAGCACAUUCUGUGCCAUUGCAUGAAGAGAUGGGAUGAGAGAUGAGAGAUGGUAUUCUAGGGCCUGAAGAAAUGAGCCCUACCUGCAGCAUCUUUGCAGAGGCCAGGGAUACUGACAUCAGUGUGCCAAACACCUUGUAAAGGGAAGUUUCUACAGCUACUGAGACGUGUUACGCAACCUACGGCUUCUUAGAGAGGCACGAUCCUAUUGCAUCCCCACCUGUGCCGCUCUUGGAACAAAACCUGGGCCCUGCACCUCCUCAUAAGGUCCAUCACAACACUGGGAAGGCAUCAGAAGGAAGGCGGUGAGCUCCUUCUGCAAAGCCCAAAAUCGUGGGCAGGGGGAUGAGCUUCUGUGGGAGCUCUGCGUGAAGUAUUUGGGCAGGAUGAGCUGAAUAUAGGCAUACAGCAUCGUUAUUUUUCAGUUCACUGAAAGCACGAAGCCGGCAGCUGCCGUAUGCCCUUGGGAUGGGAAGCACCAGCUCCUACCACCCUCCCUCUCCACAAGGCUCCUCCUAGCACUGUGAGCACCCCAACACGCUGAUGCUGAGCCUGGCAGGAGCUGUGCCGGGAGCAAAGAAGAAGAAAUCGGAGGAGAAAGGAUUCUUCUGGCUUUGCAUCAUCGCAGUCUGACCACAUCUAUUUUUGCUGUACGCAUGGCAUCAAGCACCCGUCACCGCUAUUCCUACCCGUCGCACCGCCGCAUGACACGGCCACGAGCAGGGAAGGGGCUUUGCUCUUGUUGGCCCUGCUGCACACCCAGGGAAUCCGCUCGCCGCCCCACGGCCACUGGCUGAGGACAGCUGGCAGCAGGCACGGCGCUGCCCUCCAAGGACACUUGUUCCCUCCCGCCAGGCUGGGGUCAACACGCCUUAAUUUAGGCUCUACUCACAGCUGCCUUCAUAGAGAUACGGCCUUGUGCUUGCAGGAGCAGUGAGAGCUUACUGAACUCAAGGCAGCAGUACCUCUUGGUUCCUUGCGGUGCCCAUGGAGCACCCACACCCACCAGGGCAGCCCACGGCAUCGGGCUGGGGACGGGCACUGCUUGUUGCGGGGCUGGCCGGCCUGGGGGCUUUGCCAGCAGCCACCAGGGACGUGCUGGGCUCCUGGAGCCCCUCGGCCGGAGGUGCGCAUGGCAGCAGUACCCAAAGCAGCACACUGACUGUGGGCUUCCUUGGGUGUCCUUCCUUUAUUUUCCCCUUUCAUUUAUUUCUUUAGUUUUCCA
rnacentral:lncRNA from 1 species